UCCUGCAUUCAUAACUGAUCAUGGACUGCCUGUGUCCUUGUCAUUGGUAGUGCAGGCACAGGAAAUGUGGGAAGGGUUGUCCCAUAUUUGGAAGGUCCACAUCCUUCCCUUCCAGUUCCAGGAGGCCUCCUACA